AACUAGAGUACGUCGCGUGGUAAGGUAUGCUGACUUGGUGCCACACAGGAAGCCACGCAGAUAAUUUGCAUACCUACGAUCGGACGUCCUAGAUGCGUUCCCGCAUGCGUGGACGGUCCGGAUCCGUUCCCUCUUUAGGCAUGAUCGGAUGAUCGCUAUUAAAUGCGAUGAACGGUUCAAAUUUGUUCCAUCUUUAAACAUGAUCGUACGGUCGAGAUCAAAUUAUGAUGAACGAUAUAGAUUCAUUUAUCCUUUAAAGGCGAUUGGACGGUCGAGAUCAAAUGCGAUGAACGACCCAAAUUUAAGGAAGACAGGUAUAAAUAUCUCACUUCAUACCGAACCGAACCCA
rnacentral:lncRNA from 1 species